rnacentral:rRNA from 1 species
GACGAACGCUGGCGGCGUGCUUAACACAUGCAAGUCGAACGGAAAGGCCCUGCUCUUGUGGGGUGCUCGAGUGGCGAACGGGUGUGUAACACGUGAGUAACCUGCCCUUGACUUUGGGAUAACUUCAGGAAAAUGGGGCUAAUACCGGAUAGGAGCUCCUGCUGCAUGGGGGGGGUUGGAAAGUUUCGGCGGUUGGGGAUCGACUCGCGGCUUAUCAGCUUGUUGGUGGGGUAGUGGCUUACCAAGGCUUUGACGGGUAGCCGGCCUGAGAGGGUGACCGGCCACAUUGGGACUGAGAGACGGCCCAGACUCCUACGGGAGGCAGCAGGGGGGAAUAUUGCACAAUGGGGGGAAGUCUGAGGCAGCAACGCCGCGUGCGGGAUGACGGCCUUCGGGGUGUAAACCGCUUUCGCCUGAGACGAAGCGUGAGUGACGGUAAUGGGUAAAGAAGCACCGGCUAACUACGUG